rnacentral:rRNA from 1 species
AUUCCAGCUCCAAUAGCGUAUGUUAAAGUUGUUGCAGUUAAAAAGCUCGUAGUUGGAUUUCUGAUAGGGGGCCGAACACCACUGUAGUGAGUGUUUUGGUACCUGUCAUCCUUCUGUUAACCCUAGUGUCAUUCAUUUGUCGUUGGGCGGACCAGAUACUUUACCUUGAGAAAAUUAGAGUGUUUCAGGCAGGCCUAGCCGGAAUACAUUAGCAUGGAAUAAUGGAAUAGGACUAUAGUCUCGUCGUUGGUUACGUGGACUGCAGUAAUGAUUAAUAGGGAUAGUUGGGGGCAUUAGUAUUUGUUAGCUAGAGGUGGAAUUCUCUAAUUUGAUAAAGACUAACUUAUGCGAAAGCAUUUGCCAAGGAUGUUUUCAUUG